GCUGAGAAUGAAAAGCGCAGAUAGAAAACAAGAUCAGGGAAAAGGGGACUGUGGACAGAUGGUUAAAGGGCAUUAUAUGCCCAAUUUGUGUGUGAUUAAAGAAGCUGGAAAAAUCUGUGUAGAGAUUAAUCAGUGGUCACGAGCACUUGAAGGAAAAUAACAUUGCAGAAAUACAAAGUUGAAGGAAACAAACCCAUUUUUUCUGAUCUGAUACCGUAUACAAGAGCUGACAACCAGAGGAUUAUUUUCUUGGGAGGACCAGUAUUCUCCGUGGAGGACUCCCGGAGAUACCAAGCGUUGUUUUUGUAGCAUCCUUUGUUUAUUUAGCAACCGUUCAAUCCACACAGGAGUUGCAGUCACUGAAUGAGGAGUUGCAGUCGCUGAAUGAUCAUAUCCAGGCCCUCAGAACAAAGAGAUCAACGUCUUUCAAACGAAAGGCAGGACGGCCAAAAACUCAGCUCUCAACUCUGAGUAACUUCGGGAAUUUGCUCUCCUGGCUCUUAUGUACCAAAAGCUUAUAGCCUGGGCCGUCUAACGUGCCAAAUUCCCAGGAUCCGCUGAUGGAUCUGCUCAUUGAAAGUGUGAAGGAACACAGCGUACGUGGUUGGUGCGUCAAGGAUGGCGGGCUGUCCCUACUGGAGGAGGGCCAACCCAUCACGGAAAUGUGUGAUGUAAGCUGGAACAGUAGCGCCGCGUCGUCCCAGAGCCACGUAGGACUCCUUGCCACCAAGUGCAGCG
ensembl:lncRNA